rnacentral:pre_miRNA from 1 species
UCAUCAUGAGUUUGGUCCAAAGCCCACUGAAGUCAGUGGGAAUCUUUCUACUGACUUCAGUGAGCUUUGGAUUAGGCCUAGUGA